UGGCAGAUCCAGUACUCUUCGUCGGCGUACAGGCAUCCCAUAUUCCGUCGGACGCCGUUCACCGUUGUCAGCCCUGCGUGGUUGUUCUCGGCCAAGCAGUGAAGAUGGUUCGAACCCUAGGGCCUUUUCUAUUCCCAAAAUCCGGUCAAAUUUGUUUGUUCAAUCUGGUUUUGAAUUUGUUCCCUUUGUUAUCUGUUCCCUGCGGGGCCGUUCUUGCUUUAUUUUAAAUUUUUCAUUUUAAUUUGGCUUUGAAUCUGGUCGUGUAACCGUUGAAUAUUGACGCCUUUGAAUUUGGGUAUAUUUACAUAUUGUUUUUUUUUUUUUUUGUUGGGUGCUAGUAUUUGGUUGAAUAGUGUGUAAUUGGCUAUUAUACUUCUGCCCUUUUCAUUUUGAUUACUAGCGACUUGUAUGAUUUGGAUUUUGUUGUUUUGCGAUGUUGGAUUUGUUGUGUAUCGGCAUUCUGUUUAUUAAUCUUUUUAUAUUAUCAUCAAUUUUGGAAAUUCUCAAGGUAUUUGUGAUGUAUGAUCUUGUGAAUGACUUGGUUCGAGUUGUGUCAAAGUGUCUGGAACAAAAAUUAAAAGGGUAUUAUAUCAACUACGUAUAUUUCAAAGAUUGCAGUGGGGUCAGAUGCUAGUGCCCCCACUGAGCGUAGUAUAGGUACACGCCUAUGUUCGCAGCACGGGGUUAUGAUACAAUUGAAAUCUUGGCAACAAGAGAGAAAAGUAGGAUUAAAUUAAUAUCUCAGUGAUUUAAAUUUGUUCAAUAUAAGCAUAUGAAUGGCUUCUGAUUUAUCUCUUCCAUAAUACUGUUUUGCAGCUUUUAGAUUGUUUAUCUCUGUUUGUAUGAAUUUUAAACUUAUUAUUUGACAAGAUUUAAAAUUUGCUUCAGAAAUUUCUUGAUGGCUUAACAUUUGAAUGUCUCUUAAGAAAUUAUUUUUAUGAUUUACAACUACACGUCUACACUUCUUUGAUUUGCAACUUACAGUACCUUGAUUUGCAAUUUCGUUUUCCAUUUUGAAUUAGGAGCGAAUGAAUUAUUUGUUUCAGGCAUAAUUUAAUUGGCAUCAUAAUGGAGAAGGAGAAAAAAGCAUGAGGUAAAAAGUUGACUGGCUUGAUUAAAUGUCUAAAGAAUUUAAGAAGUCCCCCCCGGGGGGGGGGGGUAGCUUAUUUUAGAAAUUACUAGCAUUUUUUACAAGUCCUAGAAACUCCAGAAUUGGGUACUUCAAGCAUGGUAUCUUUGUCCUCUUGAAUUUAUGUUUAUGGGGAUUGUGUGUUGUGUUGUUGUUGGGAAAGUUUUUGCUGUUACUUGCUUGAGGAGCAGACACGGAACCUUGCAAUGAUUACAUUUGCUUCUACAACUUUAGAAAUUGAUUAAUAUAAUACAUGAUUUUGGAUGGGCAUUUCAAGACUAUAAUAUCAUUUCAAUUAUUCUCUCUUUCUUCCCCUCUAUCAUCCUUCUCUCGCCAGCUUCAAACGUGGUACUUCAUGAAAAUGUCAUUCUAUGGCUCACCAUGAGGACCAAUGUGCCGGCAUCAUUUUCACUUAUUCUACUAACUAGUUAAAAAAACUUUGAUUUUGAAUUUUUCAGGGCCAACAACAAUGACUGAAAUUCUUAGCUAUUGUUAGAGUUGAAGACAACUUCAUCAAAAGGGUGCAUGAUAAAGCUUCAAAGGCAAUUUUAUAAGCAAAUUGCCAUUAUUUAUGGUGUACGUUUGUUGUAUGUUGGACUAGUCUCUUGGGAGUUGUUUGUUGUUCUCCAAAAAAAAAAAAAAAGUUAAAAAAGACAGUCAGCAUAUCAUGCUUUGCUGGGAAAAGGCCCUUCCCCUCUGAGCAACAAACUGCUGCACUGUGCCACCAUUGGUCAGGCACGAACCAUUCUUUUGAUCCACUGACUCAUUAACCAUUGAUGGUCUCAAACUUGAGUACUGGCAGGGCGAGGCCUUGUUGGAGACUGUAUUCUUCAACGAGUUAGAGACUACCGCAUGUCUCUGUCCAGGUCCAGGUCGUGAGGCAAAUAAAGUUUCUUCAUAGACUUGCUUUGUAGUGAAUUUUGGGCAUUAUGGUGGUUCAGUUCCAUGAGGCAGGAGUAGACAAUAUUGUGAUAUUUUCAUUUGUCAAGUGAUUAAAUUCCUGCAUUUGGAAUCCUGUGUUUUGUGGAUCCUGAUUAUGAAGGUCACUAAGUUGAACAUGAAGAUUCAGAGAACAAAGAAUUUUUGGGCUGGGCGAUCUUGAAGUCAUCCUUUUGACGGAUUUCUCAGUCUAUUUUCUCUUGGGUAUUCAGGUUCUUGAAUCUGAAGCUGAAGGCUACAAUUAAAUUAUAAUAAUACUAUGUAUUUGAAGGAAGGGUGUUCUUUAGUGUUAAAAGUGCACAAGCCUUCAAUCCCGUUUGUACUCAGCACAAAACCAAUUUUUGAUCUUGAUAAAUCCCAAGUCAAAUCUGCAAAUGUGCCCGUUCUUAAGGAAUCUGAAGUUGUGAAAAGAUUGAGACAUGAGCGAGAUGUUGUGUUGGCAAUUGAAUACUUCAAGUCCUUGGCCAAUUCUAGAGCUUUCAAACACACCCACUUGACAUACCAGAUUAUGAUUGAGAAACUGGGAAGAAAUUGCAAUAUUGAUGGUGUUCAGUAUCUUUUGCAACACAUGAAGUUGGAGGGGUUGGAUUGCUCUGAAGAUUUAUUCAUCCAUGUUAUACAAUGUUAUCGGCGAGCUGGGUCAGCUGAUCAAGCUUUGAAGAUGUUAUAUAGGAUAAGGGAAUUUGGGUGCAAGCCCACUGUCAGGAUAUACAACCACCUGUUCGAUUUGUUGCUGGAUGAAAAUCGGUUUCAGUUGAUCAAUCCUGUAUAUAACAACAUGAAGGGGGAAGGUUUGGAGCCAAAUGUUUUUACAUAUAACAUUCUUAUCAAGGCUCUUUGUCAAAAUGGAAAGGUGGAUGGGGCUUGCAAGUUGCUUGUAGAAAUGUCAAGUAAGGGUUGCCCUCCAGAUGCUGUGAGCUACACAACUAUCGUAUCUUCUAUGUGCAAGAUUGGUCAGGUAGAGGAAGCAAAGAAGCUAGCUGCGAGAUUUGCCCCUUUGGUACCUGUCUAUAAUUCUUUGAUACAUGGAGUAUGCAAAGAUAAUAAAUUUAAAGAGGCCUUUGAUUUGAUCAUUGAAAUGCUAGAUAAGGGCAUUGACCCAAAUGUUGUCACUUACUCUACAGUUAUCAAUUGUCUUUGUGACUUGGGGAAUGUUGACAUGUCUCUUGCUGUACUUGGCCAGAUGCUUAUGAGAGGAUGUAGCCCAAAUAUUCAUACAUUUGCUUCCUUGAUGAAAGGCUAUUUUUUGUGCAGCCAAUUAGGUGAGGUUCUUAGCCUGUGGAGUCGUAUGAUUCAAGAGGGAGUUAAGCCCAAUGUUGUUGCAUAUAACACUUUAAUAUAUGGUCUCUGCACCAAGAAUUAUAUAGAAGAGGCUAUAUCUGUUUAUAAUCACAUGGAAAAGAAUUGGUGCCCUCCAAAUGUUACCACAUACAGUUCUCUUAUUUAUGGUUUUGCAAAAUCUGGGACUUUGCUAGAUGCUUCUAAGACGUGGAACAAAAUGAUAACUUGUGGUUGCCGUCCUAAUGUUGUGGUAUAUUCCUGCAUGCUGGAUGUCCUUUGUCAAAACUCUAUGUUUAACCAAGCUAAUCGUCUUAUUGAGAUCAUGAACAAUGAUGGCUGUCCUCCAACUGUUGUUACAUUCAAUACAUUUAUUAAGGGCUUGUGUGCCAAGGGACGAGUGGAAUGGGCAAUGGGUGUGCUUGAUGUGAUGGAGAAAUAUAAGUGCUCGCCUAAUAUCAUAACAUAUAAUGAGUUGUUGGACGGUUUAUUUAGGGCUAACAGAUUUAAAGAAGCCAGUGGGCUUAUUAAGGAGUUGGAAGAGCUGGAGUUGGAACUAACUUCUGUUACUUAUAAUACUAUAAUGUAUGGGUUCUCUAGUGUUGGAAUUCAAGAACAGGUUUUCCAGGUUCUCGGGAAAAUGUUGGUGAGCGGAGCAAAGCCAGAUACCACUACCAUUAAUAUAGUUAUCUAUGCAUACUGUAAGUGGGGUAAGGUUAGAAUGGCCACGCAACUUUUUGAUAAACUUACAGAAGAAAAGGAAUGGCAUCCAGACAUAGUUGCAUAUACUAGUCUUUUGUGUGGCAUUUGUAAUUCGUUAGGCAUUGAAGAGGCCAUUGUGUAUCUUCAUAAAAUGACAACUGAAGGAAUCUUUCCCAAUAUCGCUACUUGGAAUGUCUUGGUUCACUGUUUCUUUAACAACUUGGGUCAUGUGGGACCAAUUCGCAUUCUGGAUGAUAUUUUGGGGAAUGGAUAGCGCUCAGCUUUUUGCUCUGUCUUAAUGAUGAUACUCAUCUGCAGAGUGCAAUGCGUAUUCAUCGGACACUUGCAAACAGGAGAAAGUGUUGGCAAAUGACUCUGAAAUCAAAGAAAACCUGGUGGGCCAGCUAAUACUGACUGUGUUCUGGAAUGAAAAUAGAAAAUGAAACAUAGAAAAUGAAGGGAAUCAUUACGAGAGGAAAUGAAGGACCUGGAUAUUGUUCUCCCACACAUUACAUCCGAGAGUUGAUAAGGAAAAUGAAUGAAAGGAGAGGUCUUCGCCUUGGUCGUGUCUAACUGUGAUGACAGAAUAUAUGAGGGGAGUCUAUUUUACCUACUUUGGUUGGGGUAUCGAAGGGAAAAGAAAUUUGUAGUUGUUUGGAGCCCCCACAGGGAAUGGAUUUUCUUCUGUAGGUGGAGAAUGAGGGGGAUUGGCUUUCCUCCAUUUUCUUUCCUCUUUAAUUAGAAAAAGCAAUUCAAACAACAUUUAAGUGUCCCUUUUGUUUCCAACAUUUAUCCCAAUUCAGAAACACCAUAGAAGGGAGUGGGGAGAAAGUUGUUGUGGCACAUGAAAGAUUUUUUUAUGUUUAAGCCCUUAUAUGCUGAAUUAAUGGUUAGAAAAACUUUGAAGGUCCGAUGGUUUACGAAAACUUUUUUCAGUGAAAUCUGAGAUACAAAUCUUCUUUAGGAUGGAAGAUGUUGUACUUGCCUUGAGGUCCACUGGAGGUCAGGAUCAAAGCUCCGUUUCAUAACAUCGCUCCUGCUUUAACUCUCAUCAAGCUGUCAAUGAGCGCAUCUUUAUACAAUUCCCCAGUUACCACUAACUUGCAUCUUCAUUGUAAACUCUUCAUUAUUUAAUACAAUUUGCCUCAUGGAAUAAUACCAUCAACUGUAUUCUGGAUGAUGACGCUGCUUACUAACUAUGAAACCAAGGACACCAUGAUGAACCCACAGUUGUCAUCCAAUAUGCCCGAGUG